rnacentral:lncRNA from 1 species
GAGCAGGCCCCUGUGCAAAAUGGAGAGGAAAUUCGCCCUUUGUGAGGGAGUGAAGGUCAGGAGUCUGAAGGAAAUAAUAGACAGUGUCCAGGAUUUUAGGGGAGGUGUAGUCUUAUCAAUAACAUUCACAUGAUAAAUGCGGAUAAAGAUGAUAUGGAAUGGUUCAUGGAGGAGAUGAGAGAGUUAAGGCAAAAACUCAGGGGAUUUAAGUUAAGGUAUAGUCCAUGGCCUUAAUGGGGACCACCUCAUUCAUUAUCACCAUUAUGAU